AUUAUAAUUGGUUACUAUCAAAUUUAUUCAUUCAAGAAGGAGUGAAAACAAAGCAAUUUUACACCUUCAUAUUAGACACAAUCUUGGAAAACAGGUUUUAAUAUGGAUAUAGGAGGAUGUUGCUAAGUGCCAUCAUCGAAUAUGAAUAUUAAAAUAGGAAUGUGAAUAUUAAAAUUAGAUGUUACUCUGUAAUUCCAGUGCUUUGGGAGGCUGAGGAGGUAAGAUCGCUUCUGGCCAGUAGUCUGAGACCAGCCUGGACAACAUAGCAAAACCUCGUCUGCACAAAAAAUGAAAAAACAUUAGCUGGGCAUGGUGGUACUUUCCUGUGGUCCAAGCUACUUGGGAGGCUGAGAUGCGAGGAUCCCUUGUGCCCAGGAGUUUGAGGUUACAGUGAGCUAUGAUCUUGCCACUGUAUCCAGCUUCAGUGAUCGAGUGAUACCUUGUCUCAAAACAACAAUAACAACAAAGGAAGGGGCGGCGCGGGCCAGCCAUAGUCCUACGUUGUGCUCCUUUUCUGCAAGAGCAGAGGUCCAAGAACAGGGCUAAAGACCUCAGUGGGAAUGACUGUUCUUCAUCACAUUCUGGAUUCACAGCCAAACAGGGUAGCUGUGCUGUCAACACACUUAACAAGGCAACUGGUCUUAACUUCCGGAACUAUAUCCAGGAGCCAGGCCAUUGAUAAAACAGUUCUUUAAAAAUUCUUGCCUUUGGUUCAAAGUAGGGAGAAAAGGAUAACUUCAGGAAGUUUUUUAUAGCUUAAAAUAUUGAGUCUCAGAAAGUUAUAUAUAUUCAUCUCAGCAGUCUGAACGCUUAGAUGAUCAAUCUGCAAGUAAUUGGAAAUGUACAAAGAAGAAAAAUUGCUGGGAAGUUUGUCCUGGUCCACACACCACCACCAAAAUGUGACACAAUUUUUUUUUUUUUGAGAUGGAGUCUCACUCUGUCGACCAGGCUGGAGUGAAGUGACGUGAUCUCAGCUCGCUGCAACCUCUGCCCCCUGGGUUUCAAGUGAUUCUCCUGCCUCAGCCUCCCAAGUAGCUGGGAUUACAGGCACACGUCCGGCUAAUUUUUGUAUUUUUAGUAGAGACAGGGUUUCGCCAUGUUGGCCAGGCUGGUCUGGAACUCCUGACUUCACGUGAUCCAUCUGCCUCGGCCUCCCAAAGUGCUGGGAUUACGGGCGUGAGCCACAGUGCCCAGCCAAAAUGCGACACUUCUUCCCUGUCUAGCAGUGCAAGAUCUUAAAGUCAGAUUAUAAAACAAGUUGUAUUCUCACUUUAUCAUUUUUCUCUGCAGUUCUAGGGCAGGUUUAUCUGAAUUACUUAAGUCCUUCAUAGUAUAGUGAGCAUAAAAGAGGACACAAGCCAAAUGUAUACUUAAAUUAAAUAGCAUGAUUUAAUUUAGUUGGUGCUUAACCCUGAAUCCUCUUAAGUUAAAAAAAAAG
rnacentral:lncRNA from 1 species